UACGUAGGGUGCAAGCGUUGUCCGGAAUUAUUGGGCGUAAAGAGCUCGUAGGCGGCUUGUCGCGUCGACUGUGAAAUCCCGCGGCUCAACUGCGGGUCUGCAGUCGAUACGGGCAGGCGUAGAGUUCGGUAGGGGAGACUGGAAUUCCUGGUGUAGCGGUGAAAUGCGCAGAUAUCAGGAGGAACACCGAUGGCGAAGGCAGGUCUCUGGGCCGAUACUGACGCUGAGGAGCGAAAGCGUGGGGAGCGAACAGG
rnacentral:rRNA from 1 species